rnacentral:rRNA from 1 species
GGGUUGUGAGGUUAAGCGACUAAGCGUACACGGUGGAUGCCCUGGCAGUCAGAGGCGAUGAAGGGCGUGCUAAUCUGCGAUAAGCGCCGGUAAGGUGAUAUGAACCGUUAUAACCGGCGAUACCCGAAUGGGGAAACCCAGUGUGAUUCGUCACACUAUCAUUAACUGAAUCCAUAGGUUAAUGAGGCGAACCGGGGGAACUGAAACAUCUAAGUACCCCGAGGAAAAGAAAUCAACCGAGAUUCCCCCAGUAGCGGCGAGCGAACGGGGAGGAGCCCAGAGCCUGAAUCAGCAUGUGUGUUAGUGGAAGCGUCUGGAAAGGCGCGCGAUACAGGGUGACAGCCCCGUACACAAAAGCGCAUGUGCUGUGAGCUCGAUGAGUAGGGCGGGACACGUGGUAUCCUGUCUGAAUAUGGGGGGACCAUCCUCCAAGGCUAAAUACUCCUGACUGACCGAUAGUGAACCAGUACCGUGAGGGAAAGGCGAAAAGAACCCCGGCGAGGGGAGUGAAAAAGAACCUGAAACCGUGUACGUACAAGCAGUGGGAGCACCCUUCGGGGUGUGACUGCGUACCUUUUGUAUAAUGGGUCAGCGACUUAUAUUCUGUAGCAAGGUUAACCGUAUAGGGGAGCCGGAGGGAAACCGAGUCUUAACCGGGCGUUAAGUUGCAGGGUAUAGACCCGAAACCCGGUGAUCUAGCCAUGGGCAGGUUGAAGGUUGGGUAACACUAACUGGAGGACCGAACCGACUAAUGUUGAAAAAUUAGCGGAUGACCUGUGGCUGGGGGUGAAAGGCCAAUCAAACCGGGAGAUAGCUGGUUCUCCCCGAAAGCUAUUUAGGUAGCGCCUCGUGAAUUCAUCUCCGGGGGUAGAGCACUGUUUCGGCUAGGGGGCCAUCCCGGCUUACCAACCCGAUGCAAACUGCGAAUACCGGAGAAUGUUAUCACGGGAGACACACGGCGGGUGCUAACGUCCGUCGUGAAGAGGGAAACAACCCAGACCGCCAGCUAAGGUCCCAAAGUCAUGGUUAAGUGGGAAACGAUGUGGGAAGGCCCAGACAGCCAGGAUGUUGGCUUAGAAGCAGCCAUCAUUUAAAGAAAGCGUAAUAGCUCACUGGUCGAGUCGGCCUGCGCGGAAGAUGUAACGGGGCUAAACCAUGCACCGAAGCUGCGGCAGCGAACGUAUCACCCAAGACAACUUUACGGAGUUGACGAUUGACGGAGCGAAGCGACGUCAAAGCGUUCAUUAAAGUCGAGUUGGCUUAGGGAUACGUUCGUUGGGUA